AACCUAGCACACCUGCGGUGUGUACCUGCGGAGGGAUCAUUACUGUGCCCCGUCAGAGCGUCACGCCCUCCAGCGUUGGCGUCUCUGCACCUGGCUCCCACCCGUGCUUACCUUACCUCUUGUUGCUUUGGCGGGCUGGCCGCUAAGGCCGCCGGGGAUAGCGGGGGGUUUAGGCCUCUCGCGUCCCGGUUCACGCCCGUCAGGGGACCUCUUUUUGAACUCUUAUGAAGCGAUGUCUCG
rnacentral:misc_RNA from 1 species